CCUACGGGAGGCAGCAGUGGGGAAUCUUGGACAAUGGGCGAAAGCCUGAUCCAGCCAUGCCGCGUGAGUGACGAAGGUCUUCGGAUUGUAAAGCUCUUUUGGCGGGGAAGAUAAUGACGGUACCCGCAGAAUAAGCCCCGGCUAACUUCGUGCCAGCAGCCGCGGUAAU
rnacentral:rRNA from 1 species